GACGAACCACACAAACGUUAUUCGGAAUUACUGGGCUUAAAGGGUGCGUAGGCGGCGCGGAAAGUUCGGUGUGAAAUCUCCUGGCUCAACUGGGAGGGUGCGCCGGAAACUGGAGUGCUUGAGCGUGGGAGAGGAAAGCGGAAUUCCUGGUGUAGCGGUGAAAUGCGUAGAUAUCAGGAGGAACACCUGUGGUGUAGACGGCUUUCUGGACCAUAGCUGACGCUGAGACACGAAAGCGUGGGUAGCAAACAGG
rnacentral:rRNA from 1 species